AAGCAAACAGAGAAAUCCCGAGUAUUUAAAGAUGAAAUGCAAAAGCGACAACUUACCUUGUCAGUCUUUGGUUUGUUUUGCAGAAGCUGCUCUAGGUAGAGAUCGGAGAGGGCUGUCCGGACGGAGUCCACGGGCUCCAAUAUGACAGUACAAGGUUCUGAUCGGUCGCGGGCGAUCUCCACGAGAGCCACUGCGGGAACACAGCUGACAGAGCAAGGAAACAGGGGCAGGCUCGUGCUGCCUUCACGUGCUCACCACAAGAUCCCAAAUUUGAAUGUUCACUCUAACACCAUGUGAAAUUGAUUUUUUUAUGAAGUUAAAUGGGACGCUGCACCGUGUUUUUCUGUGGUAGUGUGUUGUAAUGGUUCAUAUUAAGGCGGUGCGUUUUGUGUUUGCAUUUGUACACAUGCUUGUAUUUGUCAUGUUCUAGGACAGGGAUAAGCAAAUGCUAAAAUGGGGCGGGGGGUCAGCAGUGGUACUUGGGGACGACAUAGCACCAAGCACUUCCUAACUAGAUAUAUGACAAAAAUGCAAUUUUAAUGCAGAUAUUGUGGUGCAUAAGUGCAAAAGACAUGCCCUUAAUAUAUUUCAUUUUCAUAGUCAGCCUACAUUUCUCGAUGCAUAUAAAAAAGAUCGACGAUCCAAAAAUAAAACCUAAAAUCCGAAAAAAAUACUUGUAUAAUGUUCCAAGAGCACAAUAAUCUUCGCAUUAGAA